AGGGACAUAGUUCAACGGUAGAAUAGAGUCUCCAAAACCUUUGAUGUGGGUUCGAUUCCUACUGUCCCUGCCA
rnacentral:tRNA from 1 species